GACGAACGCUGGCGGCGUGCUUAACACAUGCAAGUCGAACGGAAAGGCCCUGCUUUUGUGGGGUGCUCGAGUGGCGAACGGGUGAGUAACACGUGAGUAACCUGCCCUUGACUUUGGGAUAACUUCAGGAAACUGGGGCUAAUACCGGAUAGGAGCUCCUGCUGCAUGGUGGGGGUUGGAAAGUUUCGGCGGUUGGGGAUGGACUCGCGGCUUAUCAGCUUGUUGGUGGGGUAGUGGCUUACCAAGGCUUUGACGGGUAGCCGGCCUGAGAGGGUGACCGGCCACAUUGGGACUGGGACACGGCCAAGACUCCUACGGGAGGCAGCAGUGGGGAAUAUUGCACAAUGGGAGGAAGCCUGAUGCAGCAGCGCCGCGGGCGGGAUGACGGCCUUCGGGUUGUAAACCGCUUUCGCCUGUGACGAAGCGUGAGUGACGGUAAUGGGUAAAGAAGCACCGGCUAACUACGUG
rnacentral:rRNA from 1 species